rnacentral:rRNA from 1 species
UUAAGCGACUAAGCGUACACGGUGGAUGCCCUGGCAGUCAGAGGCGAUGAAGGGCGUGCUAAUCUGCGAUAAGCGCCGGUAAGGUGAUAUGAACCGUUAUAACCGGCGAUACCCGAAUGGGGAAACCCAGUGUGAUUCGUCACACUAUCAUUAACUGAAUCCAUAGGUUAAUGAGGCGAACCGGGGGAACUGAAACAUCUAAGUACCCCGAGGAAAAGAAAUCAACCGAGAUUCCCCCAGUAGCGGCGAGCGAACGGGGAGGAGCCCAGAGCCUGAAUCAGCAUGUGUGUUAGUGGAAGCGUCUGGAAAGGCGCGCGAUACAGGGUGACAGCCCCGUACACAAAAGCGCAUGUGCUGUGAGCUCGAUGAGUAGGGCGGGACACGUGGUAUCCUGUCUGAAUAUGGGGGGACCAUCCUCCAAGGCUAAAUACUCCUGACUGACCGAUAGUGAACCAGUACCGUGAGGGAAAGGCGAAAAGAACCCCGGCGAGGGGAGUGAAAAAGAACCUGAAACCGUGUACGUACAAGCAGUGGGAGCCCCACCACCAAAGCGUUUCGCUUUGUGUGGUGCACAAAGAAGCGUAACGACAGCACUGAAUGACGGUUAACGGAGCGCAAGCGACGUUCAACAUACAAAGUCAAGCAGUGGAGCGCUUUGGGGUGGGGUGACUGCGUACCUUUUGUAUAAUGGGUCAGCGACUUAUAUUCUGUAGCAAGGUUAACCGAAUAGGGGAGCCGGAGGGAAACCGAGUCUUAACCGGGCGUUAAGUUGCAGGGUAUAGACCCGAAACCCGGUGAUCUAGCCAUGGGCAGGUUGAAGGUUGGGUAACACUAACUGGAGGACCGAACCGACUAAUGUUGAAAAAUUAGCGGAUGACCUGUGGCUGGGGGUGAAAGGCCAAUCAAACCGGGAGAUAGCUGGUUCUCCCCGAAAGCUAUUUAGGUAGCGCCUCGUGAAUUCAUCUCCGGGGGUAGAGCACUGUUUCGGCUAGGGGGCCAUCCCGGCUUACCAACCCGAUGCAAACUGCGAAUACCGGAGAAUGUUAUCACGGGAGACACACGGCGGGUGCUAACGUCCGUCGUGAAGAGGGAAACAACCCAGACCGCCAGCUAAGGUCCCAAAGUCAUGGUUAAGUGGGAAACGAUGUGGGAAGGCCCAGACAGCCAGGAUGUUGGCUUAGAAGCAGCCAUCAUUUAAAGAAAGCGUAAUAGCUCACUGGUCGAGUCGGCCUGCGCGGAAGAUGUAACGGGGCUAAACCAUGCACCGAAGCUGCGGCAGCGACGCUUAUGCGUUGUUGGGUAGGGGAGCGUUCUGUAAGCCUGUGAAGGUGGCCUGUGAGGGUUGCUGGAGGUAUCAGAAGUGCGAAUGCUGACAUAAGUAACGAUAAAGCGGGUGAAAAGCCCGCUCGCCGGAAGACCAAGGGUUCCUGUCCAACGUUAAUCGGGGCAGGGUGAGUCGACCCCUAAGGCGAGGCCGAAAGGCGUAGUCGAUGGGAAACGGGUUAAUAUUCCCGUACUUGGUGUUACUGCGAAGGGGGGACGGAGAAGGCUAUGUUGGCCGGGCGACGGUUGUCCCGGUUUAAGCGUGUAGGUGUGUGUUCCAGGUAAAUCCGGUUCACUUUAACACUGAGGCGUGAUGACGAGGCACUACGGUGCUGAAGCAACAAAUGCCCUGCUUCCAGGAAAAGCCUCUAAGCAUCAGGUAACAUCAAAUCGUACCCCAAACCGACACAGGUGGUCAGGUAGAGAAUACCAAGGCGCUUGAGAGAACUCGGGUGAAGGAACUAGGCAAAAUGGUGCCGUAACUUCGGGAGAAGGCACGCUGACACGUAGGUGAAGUGAUUUACUCAUGGAGCUGAAGUCAGUCGAAGAUACCAGCUGGCUGCAACUGUUUAUUAAAAACACAGCACUGUGCAAACACGAAAGUGGACGUAUACGGUGUGACGCCUGCCCGGUGCCGGAAGGUUAAUUGAUGGGGUCAGCGCAAGCGAAGCUCCUGAUCGAAGCCCCGGUAAACGGCGGCCGUAACUAUAACGGUCCUAAGGUAGCGAAAUUCCUUGUCGGGUAAGUUCCGACCUGCACGAAUGGCGUAAUGAUGGCCAGGCUGUCUCCACCCGAGACUCAGUGAAAUUGAACUCGCUGUGAAGAUGCAGUGUACCCGCGGCAAGACGGAAAGACCCCGUGAACCUUUACUAUAGCUUGACACUGAACAUUGAGCCUUGAUGUGUAGGAUAGGUGGGAGGCUUUGAAGCGUGGACGCCAGUCUGCGUGGAGCCGACCUUGAAAUACCACCCUUUAAUGUUUGAUGUUCUAACGUGGACCCGUAAUCCGGGUUGCGGACAGUGUCUGGUGGGUAGUUUGACUGGGGCGGUCUCCUCCUAAAGAGUAACGGAGGAGCACGAAGGUUGGCUAAUCCUGGUCGGACAUCAGGAGGUUAGUGCAAUGGCAUAAGCCAGCUUGACUGCGAGCGUGACGGCGCGAGCAGGUGCGAAAGCAGGUCAUAGUGAUCCGGUGGUUCUGAAUGGAAGGGCCAUCGCUCAACGGAUAAAAGGUACUCCGGGGAUAACAGGCUGAUACCGCCCAAGAGUUCAUAUCGACGGCGGUGUUUGGCACCUCGAUGUCGGCUCAUCACAUCCUGGGGCUGAAGUAGGUCCCAAGGGUAUGGCUGUUCGCCAUUUAAAGUGGUACGCGAGCUGGGUUUAGAACGUCGUGAGACAGUUCGGUCCCUAUCUGCCGUGGGCGCUGGAGAACUGAGGGGGGCUGCUCCUAGUACGAGAGGACCGGAGUGGACGCAUCACUGGUGUUCGGGUUGUCAUGCCAAUGGCACUGCCCGGUAGCUAAAUGCGGAAGAGAUAAGUGCUGAAAGCAUCUAAGNGUCUCCUGAAGGAACGUUGAAGACGACGACGUUGAUAGGCCGGGUGUGUAAGCGCAGCGAUGCGUUGAGCUAACCGGUACUAAUGAACCGUGAGGCUUAACCUU